UGGGGAAUAUUGCACAAUGGGCGGAAGCCUGAUGCAGCGACGCCGCGUGGGGGAUGAAGGCCUUCGGGUUGUAAAUUCCUUUCGAUAGGGACGAAGCUUUUGUGACGGUACCUGUAUAAGAAGCACCGGCUAACUACGUGCCAGCAGCCGCGGUAAUACGUAGGGUGCGAGCGUUGUCCGGAAUUACUGGGCGUAAAGAGCUCGUAGGUGGUUUGUCGCGUCGUCUGUGAAAUUCCGGGGCUUAACUCCGGGCGUGCAGGCGAUACGGGCUGACUUGAGUGCUGUAGGGGGGACUGGAAUUCCUGGUGUAGCGGUGAAAUGCGCAGAUAUCAGGAGGAACACCGAUGACGAAGGCAGGUCUCUGGGCAGUAACUGACGCUGAGGAGCGAAAGCAUGGGUAGCGAACAGG
rnacentral:rRNA from 1 species